GACGAACGCUGGCGGCGUGCUUAACACAUGCAAGUCGAACGGAAAGGCCCUGCUUUUGUGGGGUGCUCGAGUGGCGAACGGGUGAGUAACACGUGAGUAACCUGCCCUUGACUUUGGGAUAACUUCAGGAAACUGGGGCUAAUACCGGAUAGGAGCUCCUGCUGCAUGGUGGGGGUUGGAAAGUUUCGGCGGUUGGGGAUGGACUCGCGGCUUAUUAGCUUGUUGGUGGGGUAGUGGCUUACCAAGGCUUUGACGGGUAGCCGGCCUGAGAGGGUGGACGGCCACAUUGGGACUGAGAUACGGCCCAGACGCCUACGGGAGGCAGCAGUGGGGAAUAUUGCACAAUGGGCGGAAGCCUGAUGCAGCAACGCCGCGUGCGGGAUGACGGCCUUCGGGUUGUAAACCGCUUUCGCCUGUGACGAAGCGUGAGUGACGGUAAUGGGUAAAGAAGCACCGGCUAACUACGUG
rnacentral:rRNA from 1 species